UACGAGCGCCCCAAGCGUUAUCCGGAAUCAUUGGGCGUAAAGGGUGUGUAGGCGGCAUAGUUAGUCUUGCGUUAAAGCCUCGGGCUCAACCCGAGAAUCGCGCAGGAAACGGCUAAGCUGGAGAGUGUGAGAGGUCUGCGGAACGCAUGGUGUAGGGGUGAAAUCCGUUGAUAUCAUGCGGAACACCGAAAGCGAAGGCAGCAGACUGGCGCAUUUCUGACGCUGAAACACGAAAGCCAGGGUAGCGAAUGGG
rnacentral:rRNA from 1 species